GACCAGCGGAGGGAUCAUUACCGAGUUUACAACUCCCAAACCCCUGUGAACAUACCACUUGUUGCCUCGGCGGAUCAGCCCGCUCCCGGUAAAACGGGACGGCCCGCCAGAGGACCCCUAAACUCUGUUUCUAUAUGUAACUUCUGAGUAAAACCAUAAAUAAAUCAAAACUUUCAACAACGGAUCUCUUGGUUCUGGCAUCGAUGAAGAACGCAGCAAAAUGCGAUAAGUAAUGUGAAUUGCAGAAUUCAGUGAAUCAUCGAAUCUUUGAACGCACAUUGCGCCCGCCAGUAUUCUGGCGGGCAUGCCUGUUCGAGCGUCAUUUCAACCCUCAAGCACAGCUUGGUGUUGGGACUCGCGUUAAUUCGCGUUCCUCAAAUUGAUUGGCGGUCACGUCGAGCUUCCAUAGCGUAGUAGUAAAACCCUCGUUACUGGUAAUCGUCGCGGCCACGCCGUUAAACCCCAACUUCUGAAUGUUGACCUCGGAUCAGGUAGGAAUACCCGCUGAACUUAAGCAUAUCAAUAAGCGGAGGAAAAGAAACCAACAGGGAUUGCCCUAGUAACGGCGAGUGAAGCGGCAACAGCUCAAAUUUGAAAUCUGGCUCUCGGGCCCGAGUUGUAAUUUGUAGAGGAUACUUUUGAUGCGGUGCCUUCCGAGUUCCCUGGAACGGGACGCCAUAGAGGGUGAGAGCCCCGUCUGGUUGGAUGCCAAAUCUCUGUAAAGUUCCUUCAACGAGUCGAGUAGUUUGGGAAUGCUGCUCUAAAUGGGAGGUAUAUGUCUUCUAAAGCUAAAUACCGGCCAGAGACCGAUAGCGCACAAGUAGAGUGAUCGAAAGAUGAAAAGCACUUUGAAAAGAGAGUUAAAAAGUACGUGAAAUUGUUGAAAGGGAAGCGUUUAUGACCAGACUUGGGCUUGGUUAAUCAUCUGGGGUUCUCCCCAGUGCACUUUUCCAGUCCAGGCCAGCAUCAGUUUUCCCCGGGGGAUAAAGGCGGCGGGAAUGUGGCUCUCUUCGGGGAGUGUUAUAGCCCGUCGUGUAAUACCCUGGGGGGGACUGAGGUUCGCGCAUCUGC
rnacentral:rRNA from 1 species